rnacentral:rRNA from 1 species
CCUACGGGUGGCAGCAGUAGGGAAUUUUCGGCAAUGGGGGGCACCCUGACCGAGCAACGCCGCGUGAACGAAGAAGUUCUUCGUAAUUUAAAGUUCUUUUAACAGGGAAGAAAGAGAAAUUUGACGGUACCUGAAGAAUGAGCUCCGGCUAACUACGUGCCAGCAGCCGCGGUAAUACGUAGGUGUCAAGCGUUGUCCGGAUUUACUGGGUGUAAAGGGCGUGCAGCCGGGAAGACAAGUCAGAUGUUAAAUCCCGCGGCUCAACCGCGGAACUGCAUUUGAAACUGUUUUUCUUGAGUACCGGAGAGGUCAGCGGAAUUCGUUGUGUAGCGGUGAAAUGCGUAGAUAUAAGGAAGAACACCAGUGGCGAAGGCGGAUGACUGGACGGCAACUGACGGUGAGGCGCGAAAGCGUGGGGAGCAAACAGGAUUAGAUACCCUGGUAGUC